rnacentral:rRNA from 1 species
GACGAACGCUGGCGGCGUGCCUAACACAUGCAAGUCGAACGAGGUCCAAGGAAGCUUGCUUCCUGACGACCUAGUGGCGAACGGGUGAGUAACACGUGAGAAACCUGCCUCGGAGUGGGGAAUAACUCGGGGAAACUCGAGCUAAUACCGCAUAUCUUCACAUGAUCGCAUGGUCGAGUGAAGAAAGAAUUUAGCUCUGAGAGGGUCUCGCGGCCUAUCAGCUUGUUGGUGGGGUAACGGCCCACCAAGGCAACGACGGGUAGCUGGUUUGAGCGAACGAUCAGCCUCACUGGGACUGAGACACGGCCCAGACUCAUACGGGAAGCAGCAGUGGGGAAUCUUGCGCAAUAGGCGAAAGCCUGUCGCAGCAACGCCGCGUGCGGGAUGACGGCCUUCGUGGUUGUAAUCCGCUUUCAGCAGGGACGAAAAUGACGGUACCUGCAGAAGAAGCCCCGGCUAACUACGUGCCAGCCGCCGCGGUAACAC